GAUGAACGCUGGCGGCGUGCCUAAUACAUGCAAGUCGAGCGAAUGGAUUAAGAGCUUGCUCUUAUGAAGUUAGCGGCGGACGGGUGAGUAACACGUGGGUAACCUGCCCAUAAGACUGGGAUAACUCCGGGAAACCGGGGCUAAUACCGGAUAAUAUUUUGAACUGCAUGGUUCAAAAUUGAAAGGCGGCUUCGGCUGUCACUUAUGGAUGGACCCGCGUCGCAUUAGCUAGUUGGUGAGGUAACGGCUCACCAAGGCAACGAUGCGUAGCCGCGCCGAGAGGGUGUUCAGCCACACUGAGACUGAGACACGGCCCAGACUCCUACGGGAGGCAGCAGUAGGGAAUCUUGCGCAAUGGACGAAAGUCUGACGGAGCAACGCCGCGUGAGUGAUGAAGGCUUUCGGGUCGUAAAACUCUGUUGUUAGGGAAGAACAAGUGCUAGUUGAAUAAGCUGGCACCUUGACGGUACCUAACCAGAAAGCCACGGCUAACUACGUGCCAGCCGCCGCCGUAA
rnacentral:rRNA from 1 species